rnacentral:RNase_P_RNA from 1 species
GAGUCGGCCAGGCGGUCGCGGCGCCCCUCGGGGCGACGAGGAACGUCCGGGCUCCGCAGAGCAGGGUGGUGGGUAACGCCCACCCGGGGUGACCCGCGGGACAGUGCCACAGAAAGUAGACCGCCGUCGCAGCCUCCGGGCCGCGGCGGUAAGGGUGAAAGGGUGGUGUAAGAGACCACCAGCGUGCCGGGUGACCGGUGCGGCUAGGUAAACCCCACCCGGAGCAAGACCAGACAGCAGGCGCCUGAGGGCUGCUCGCCCGAGCCUGCGGGUAGGUCGCUGGAGGCGUGCGGCAACGUACGUCGUAGAUGGAUGGCCGCCACCGCGGACCGGCAACGGGCCGCGGGACAGAACCCGGCGUACCGGCCGACUCAU